CCGUGCAGCCGGGGAGUUAGCGGUGCCCUGUACCUACAAUCCGCUACAGUAGGGGUGAUACCAAUCCGAGGGUUUUUUAUUGCGAAGCUGCCCUCUAUAAGUGGCGUUGACGUUUGGGUCUCGCGCAACAGGAAUCUAUGAAUCGUGUCAGGUCAGGAAUGGAGCAGCACUAAGUAGAACCUUCUGUGUGCCGUGAGGCAGCCUGAAUUGAGUUAACUGUAGAGGUAACGUUCGUGGUAGGAAUUCAAAGUGCGGUGCACGG
rfam:Robinsoniella sp. RHS robin_c139, whole genome shotgun sequence.